UCAAGCAUAAAAGGCAGACGUGGAUGUAGUAGUGUUGGUCCAACUCUAAAUCAAGAUGAAGUUUUUGUUUCAACUGCCUUGUUGCUCUUGCUUCUGUUUCGUCAAGCCAAAGAAGGGGAAACACAAGGAGGGGGAGAUAAAGAAAGAGUAACGAGAAGCAUCUUCAACGAGAGAAUGAAUCUUUUUAUGGUGUCAAUUUUAUGUUACUUAUGUAUCAAUCGAUGAUUAUCUUUGUCAAAAGAAGGCAAAUCAUUAAGUUAUGAUGUUGCAUCCUCGUUUUACAUUUACCACUUUUAUUAGAUUCCCUCGAUAUGAUUCCUACUCAAUCUUUA
rnacentral:lncRNA from 1 species